GACUAGUGGCAGAGGGAGGUGGUGACUAGGGACAGAGUGAGGGAGGUUGUGACUAGUGAUAGUCACCACCUCCCUCACUCUGUCCCUAGUCACCACCUCCCUCACUCUGUCACUGU